GACGAACGCUGGCGGCGUGCUUAACACAUGCAAGUCGAACGAAGAGCGAUGGAAGCUUGCUUCUAUCAAUCUUAGUGGCGAACGGGUGAGUAACGCGUAUCAACCUGCCCUUCAGAGGGGGACAACAGUUGGAAACGACUGCUAAUACCGCAUACGAUCUAAUCUCGGCAUCGAGGAUAGAUGAAAGGUGGCCUCUACAUGUAAGCUAUCACUGAAGGAGGGGAUUGCGUCUGAUUAGCUAGUUGGAGGGGUAACGGCCCACCAAGGCGAUGAUCAGUAGCCGGUCUGAGAGGAUGAACGGCCACAUUGGGACUGAGACACGGCCCAGACUCCUACGGGAGGCAGCAGUGGGGAAUCUUCCGCAAUGGACGAAAGUCUGACGGAGCAACGCCGCGUGAGUGAUGACGGCCUUCGGGUUGUAAAGCUCUGUUAAUCGGGACGAAAGGCCUUCUUGCGAACAGUUAGAAGGAUUGACGGUACCGGAAUAGAAAGCCACGGCUAACUACGUG
rnacentral:rRNA from 1 species